CUUGACACCUCCAGUUUGGGUGUUGAAGUUGAGGCACAUCUGUUGGAGUCGAUGCUCUAAUGUCCGGGUGAACUAAUGGUUCAGGGGUCAAGUGUGUCAGGCGGGUGCCGGAAUGUUAGGAUUCACUCCGCCCGACCGUUAGAUGUAGGCUAAUUAGGCUCGGAUAUAUAACCUGAGAGGUAAUAGAGGUAGAAAUUACUUUCGUCUUCGGAACCUUUCUACCAAGACUAGUAAGAUUGAGCUUUCUCGUUUCACCUUUCCUUAAACUUAAACAUGAAUACCAUUGCAUCGAUCGCUUUAUUCUUGACCAUGGUCAUCAUGGUCAGUGCCCAGCAGCACGAACCCAAAGCUGACGUUGUUGGAAGGACACACAGCGACAUCGCAGCCAGAGUCAACCUCGGAACAGCUAUUAGUUUAGUCGUCCCCAUCGCUCUGGGUGUAGCCCUCGUCGCCCUGCUGGCCCCCAUCUUCCAAGGGCUGUUCGCCUCUCCCAUUCCAUUCUCUCCAUCUCUUGGAUAUGCCAGGAAAUCCAAAUCACUCUUUUCCGGUUUUAAUCAGGAAACCGUGAUGCAAGUUCUGGAGACCCUCACCAAGGCCAUUGACGCUUACGCUGAGGCUGACAACAACAAGGCAAUACCAAAAUGAGCCGAAGAUUCAUCAGAUUGAAAUGUUUCAUUGUAAAUAAGCGCCUAUAGUAUCAUUGUGCUUAAAUAGUAGGAUUCUUUUAGUCAUUUUUUGUGCCUGUUAAGACUGGUCAAAAUUUUUGUUUAAACAACCAAAUAUUACUACUGUUUUUGGCACGAAUUCUUAAGUCUUUUAGAGCUUUACAGAAAAAUAAUGAUUGAGCAAGCUGGACCUUGCAUAAAUAAUUCCAUUUGUUUUAGAGUUAGAUCAUAAAAAGCCAACACAUGUGGGAAAAAAAUCGAAAUUCACUCGCCGUACAAUUUCAUCCUUUAACUUAUUGUUAUAAAAAUAUUUAUGUUAUUUAUUAAUAAAACUACUUUUUAAAUAUU